rnacentral:rRNA from 1 species
AUUGAACGCUGGCGGCAUGCCUUACACAUGCAAGUCGAACGGCAGCACGGGGCAACCUGGCGGCGAGUGGCGAACGGGUGAGUAAUGCAUCGGAACGUACCUUUCAGUGGGGGAUAACGUAGCGAAAGUUACGCUAAUACCGCAUAUUCUGUGAGCAGGAAAGCAGGGGAUCGCAAGACCUUGCGCUGAUCGAGCGGCGGAUGUCAGAUUAGCUAGUUGGUGAGGUAAAGGCUCACCAAGGCGACGAUCUGUAGCGGGUCUGAGAGGAUGAUCAGUCACACUGGAACUGAGACACGGUCCAGACUCCUACGGGAGGCAGCAGUGGGGAAUAUUGGACAAUGGGCGAAAGCCUGAUCCAGCCAUGCCGCGUGUGUGAAGAAGGUCUUCGGAUUGUAAAGCACUUUAAGUCGGGAGGAAGGGCUGUAGGUUAAUACCUUGCAGCCUUGACGUUACCGACAGAAUAAGCACCGGCUAACUUUGUGCCAGCAGCAGCCGCAGUAA